UCUCUUUAUUGGCCAAUCUAUCAAAAAUAGGAUUACAAUUUGUGGCCAUCGAUUGUUUUGAUCUUGUGGCCUAAGAUCAAUCUUCUUUCGUACUAUACUUUUUUUUCUGAACUCUCUCUUGCUAUACUAAAUCACAAAGUUUUUUCUUCUCCUUUGCUAGAGAGUCAAGUGACUCAAGUCUCCACUCUUGUCUUAUCCUCUGGUUCAUCCUCCUCGAGGCUUUGUCAUCCUCAACGGCGAGCAUACCAAGAGUCACAAAGAACCCUAGACCGCCACGCAAACAAACCUUUCCGCCGCAGAGAAAUAGAUCUCGUCUUUCCAGAUCCUUUAUAUUCAAGAGAUUCAGAGAUGGCGAGUGAUAAACAGAGAUGGCAUAGCAGCGUCAGUGGCAAGGUGGAAGACGGAACGCUAGUGGCAAGGUGGAGGACCGGAGGAGAUAGAGGAAAAGGGUGAUGGCGGUGGCCCGAGCUUCUCUCCGCUGAGAAAGAGAAGACAGGGGAAGAGGAAUCUGGUGGUCAGGGGAUUGCGGCGAAGAGGCGACAGAGAAUCUGGUGGUCAGGAGCAGAGUGGACGUCAUGGGGCUUGCGGUGAGGAUGCGACGGAGAAGCUGGUGGUCGUGAGAAGAGGUGGUGGUCAUGGGGCUUGCGGCGAGGAACGGAGAAGCUGGCGAGGAGAUUAGGUCUUGAUUAAGGGUUAAUUAAGAUGAGAUUUAGAUUAGAUUUAAGUUUUAAAAUAUCUGGUUAUUUUUAAAAUAUAUAUGGUGAACUGUGGAAUAUCUUUUAGGAUUAGUUAUAUAUAUAUAUAUAUAUUUAAUUUGAUUAAUUUUGUAUAACAAUUUUAAUUUGUAAACCAAAUUCAAGUAUUUGUAAAUCAAAAUUAAUUUAUUAUAUAUUUUAAUUUCA